rnacentral:piRNA from 1 species
UGACGGAGCUGAGCAUCAAGAGCGGC